UUUUUUUUUUUUUUCUAAACAACGAUUAGUAACAUGUGCACUAUAUAAAUAAGAUUUUAAAAAAAGAAGAAAGAACAAGAACAAGGAAAAGAAAGUAUUAGAAGUUAGGACACCAGUCAAGCUUUGGAACAAUAAUGCACAUGGUCAUCAACUUCAAAAGUGUGUUCAUGCUUAUACACCCAGCCAACAUAAAGAUGCAAGCCUAUGCACUUUUUUACUUUUUGGUGGUGGUUCUUGUGUGUGUGUGUGCCGCAAUCCUUGAAAAAAAUAAAAUAAAAGUUAAGUUCAUACAGUUGUUAAGGCAGUAUAGAAAUCCUGAUGUCUUAAGCUAUUUUUCUUGAGAAUAACAUCUUAAAAUCUUUCUUGAAUAUGUCCUCUAAAAGACUGAUGAAAUAAUAUGUGCACUAGAAAACAUGAUAUAUGUAUAAAAUAAAGGAUCAAGAUAUUUGGACAUCAAAUUGGAUGAGCUAUAGAUGCAACAGCAAAAAUUGGAAUUUUUUUUU
rnacentral:misc_RNA from 1 species